UGGGGAAUUUUGGACAAUGGGCGAAAGCCUGAUCCAGCAAUGCCGCGUGUGUGAAGAAGGCCUUCGGGUUGUAAAGCACUUUUGUCCGGAAAGAAAUCCUCUGGGUUAAUACCUCGGGGGGAUGACGGUACCGGAAGAAUAAGCACCGGCUAACUACGUGCCAGCAGCCGCGGUAAUACGUAGGGUGCAAGCGUUAAUCGGAAUUACUGGGCGUAAAGCGUGCGCAGGCGGUUUGCUAAGACCGAUGUGAAAUCCCCGGGCUCAACCUGGGAACUGCAUUGGUGACUGGCAGGCUAGAGUAUGGCAGAGGGGGGUAGAAUUCCACGUGUAGCAGUGAAAUGCGUAGAGAUGUGGAGGAAUACCGAUGGCGAAGGCAGCCCCCUGGGCCAAUACUGACGCUCAUGCACGAAAGCGUGGGGAGCAAACAGGAUUAGAUACCCUGGUAGUCCACGCCCUAAAACGAUGUCAACUAGUUGUUGGGGAUUCAUUUCCUUAGUAACGUAGCUAACGCGUGAAGUUGACCGCCUGGGGAGUACGGUCGCAAGAUUAAAACUUAAAUGAAUUGACGGGGU
rnacentral:rRNA from 1 species